rnacentral:rRNA from 1 species
GCCUGAACUGAAACAUCUAAGUAGGGCGAGGAAGAGAAAUCAACCGAGAUUCCGCAAGUAGUGGCGAGCGAACGCGGAAGAGGCCAAACCGGCUGUAGAAAUAUGGCCGGGGUAAGGACAGCAAAAUGUAUGUUGGACCCUAGCAGAAGGGCAUGGGACGGCCCACCACAGAGAGUGAUAGUCUCGUAUGCGAAAGGGAAAAACAGCAGGCUGUAUCCAGAGUACCACUGGACACGUGAAACCCGGUGGGAAUAUGGGGGGACCACCCUCCAAGCCUAAAUACUCCCUGGUGACCGAUAGUGAAGAGUACUGUGAAGGAAAGGUGAAAAGAACCCCGGGAGGGGAGUGAAAAGAACCUGAAACCUUGUGCUUACAAGCACACAGAGCACGUCAAGGUGUGAUGUGGUACCUUUUGUAGAAUGGUCCGGCGAGUGAAUGUAACGAGCAAGGUUAAGCACUUUAGGUGUGGAGCCGAAGCGAAAGCAAGUCUGAAAAGGGCGAGAAGUUCGUUGUAUUCGACCCGAAACCGGGUGACCUAGCCAUGUCCAGGCUGAAGUGAAGGUAAAACUUCAUGGAGGGCCGAACCCACUCCCGUUGAAAUGGUAGGGGAUGAGGUGUGGCUAGCGGAGAAAUUCCAAUCGAACCCGGAGAUAGCUGGUUCUCUCCGAAAUAGCUUUAGGGCUAGCCUCGUAUUAGAUUACCGGAGGUAAAGCACUGAAUGGCCUAGGGCCCGAGAGGGUACCGAAGCCUAUCAAACUCAGAAUGCCGGAUAAUUGAUGUACGGGAGUCAGACAGUGUGAGAUAAGUUUCAUUGUCAAAAGGGAAACAGCCCAGACCCACAGCUAAGGUCCCAAAUGUAUGCUAAGUGGAAAACGAUGUGGAGUUGCGAAAACAACCAGGAUGUUGGCUUAGAAGCAGCCACUCAUUAAAAGAGUGCGUAAUAGCUCACUGGUCGAGUGACCCUGCGCGGAAAAUAUAACGGGGCUAAGCGUCCAACCGAAGCUUGGGAUGUCUAAGGACAUGGUAGGGGAGCGUCGUGUAUAGGGAGAAGCAUGAGCGAGAGCACAUGUGGACAGUACACGAGUGAGAAUGCCGGAAUGAGUAGCGAGAAUUAUGUGGGAAUCAUAAUGGCCGAAAAUCUAAGGUUUCUUGGGGAAGGUUCGUCCGCCCAAGGUAAGCCGGGAGCUAAGGCGAGGCCGCAAGGCGUAGUCGAUGCACAUACGGUAGAAAUUCCGUAGCCACCGAACCUUAAACCGGAAGGACACUUUCAGAUAGCAGAACCCAGCCGUUGGUAGAGCUGGGCGAAAGGGACUGAAAUAUAGUAGGGAAGUCUGCGAUGCUGAGAGGCGAGAAAAGCUCCGGUGUAUGCUAAGGUGCCCGUACCGCAAACCGACACAGGUAGAUGAGGAGAGAAUCCUAAGGCCAACGGGAGAAGGGUUGUUAAGGAACUCGGCAAAUUGACCCCGUAACUUCGGGAGAAGGGGUGCUCUAGCAAUAGAGCCGCAGAGAAUCGGCCCAAGCAACUGUUUACCAAAAACACAGGUUUGUGCUAAAUCGAAAGAUGACGUAUACGAGCUGACGCCUGCCCGGUGCUGGAAGGUUAAGAGGAGAUGUGCAAGCAUUGAAUCGAAGCCCCAGUGAACGGCGGCCGUAACUAUAACGGUCCUAAGGUAGCGAAAUUCCUUGUCAGGUAAG